GACGAACGCUGGCGGCGUGCCUAAUACAUGCAAGUCGAACGCAGUGGGGACGGGUGAGUAACACGUGGGUAACCUCCCCAUCUGAGGGGAUAACCCUUGGAAACAGGUGCUAAACCGAUAUUGAUGGAUGGACCCGCGGUGCAUUAGCCAGUUGGGGAGGUAACGGCUCACCAAGGCCACGAUGCAUAGCCGGCCUGAGAGUGUGAUCGGCCACACUGGGACUGAGACACGGCCCAGACUCCUACGGGAGGCAGCAGUAGGGAAUCUUCGGCAAUGGACGAAAGUCUGACCGAGCAACGCCGCGUGAGUGAAGAAGGUUUUCGGAUCGUAAAACUCUGUUGUUAGAGAAGCGGUAUCUAACCAGAAAGCCACGGCUAACUACGUGCCAGCCGCCGCGGUAAUUC
rnacentral:rRNA from 1 species